rnacentral:rRNA from 1 species
CAGCAGCCGCGGUAAUACGUAGGGUGCAAGCGUUAAUCGGAAUUACUGGGCGUAAAGCGUGCGCAGGCGGUUAUAUAAGACAGAUGUGAAAUCCCCUGGCUCAACCUGGGAACUGCAUUUGUGACUGUAUAGCUAGAGUACGGCAGAGGGGGAUGGAAUUCCGCGUGUAGCAGUGAAAUGCGUAGAUAUGCGGAGGAACACCGAUGGCGAAGGCAAUCCCCUGGGCCUGUACUGACGCUCAUGCACGAAAGCGUGGGGAGCAAACAGGAUUAGAUACCCCUGUAGUCCCUGUCUCUUAUAC